AGCGAACGCUGGCGGCAGGCCUAACACAUGCAAGUCGAACGAACCUUUCGGGGUUAGUGGCGGACGGGUGAGUAACACGUGGGAACGUGCCUUUAGGUUCGGAAUAACUCAGGGAAACUUGUGCUAAUACCGAAUGUGCCCUUCGGGGGAAAGAUUUAUCGCCUUUAGAGCGGCCCGGGUCUGAUUAGCUAGUUGGUUGAGGUAAUGGCUCACCAAGGCGACGAUCAGUAGCUGGUCUGAGAGGAUGAUCAGCCACAUUGGGACUGAGACACGGCCCAAACUCCUACGGGAGGCAGCAGUGGGGAAUCUUGCGCAAUGGGCGAAAGCCUGACGCAGCCAUGCCGCGUGAAUGAUGAAGGUCUUAGGAUUGUAAAAUUCUUUCACCGGGGACGAUAAUGACGGUACCCGGAGAAGAAGCCCCGGCUAACUUCGUG
rnacentral:rRNA from 1 species